CAUCUUAUAUUGGGCAAGCUAUUUUAAUUCCUCUCAAUGAGUAUGAACACCGUUUAACUGGUUGAACCUCAUUAGGGUUUACUCAUAAUUAACCUCAUUAGGGUUUGAUGGGGUGGGUCGCUUAUAAUAAUAAAAGGAUCAGUCAUAUCUUUCAAGAUCGUACCAGUUACAGCCUGUACACUCUAUUAAAUUUGCCUAGAAUUUCUAGGUUUUGCCGGCGAGGUAAAAUAGCUUGCGUUUGUGUACCUUGUUUACCUCUUUUCAUGGCUUUUUCAAGGGGGCCGUCUUCUGAAUGAAAUUGGCAAUCGCGGUUAUGAUAGAAGAGCAAAGAAAAUCGGAAGUGUGAAGGCAAUUUCUAUCUUUAUGCUUCAUGCUCUAGUUUACCCUUUAACUAUCACUCAAAUGGCUGCUAACCCUUAAUGGCUUUUACCAGUGGCAUUGUAUUAUUUCUUUUAACUAAGAAGGGGUGACCCUUGAAGCAAUUGGUACUACCAGUUUCAAGCUGUUUCACCGCUCGCUACUUAUUGCAAUGCAAACCCUUUCAUUUUAAGGCAGUGGCUGUUAACCCUCGAUUCAUUUUACAAUCGGCGUUGGAGAUAUUUUGUGUCGUUUUCCAGCAGAGCACAUCAUAGCUAGGGCCUCAAUUGCGAUAUUUUCGGUGGUGUUAACGCUAUGCUGAUACUGUAAAGAGCAGAACCUCUGUUAAAAGCAUGUCUGUCUCAGCGUACAUGAGUGACAGGUUACAUUACCUCUUAAGGCAAAUUUGCCUCGGUACCUUACCAUAUGGAGAAAAUUGGUCCAAUUUCUGUAUUGGAUUGCCCAUGUGGUGGGUUGAGCCUUGCACCAUCGUAUUUUGGAAAUUCCUUCACAACUUCUGAAGAAACUUGUAACAGCUGCAUUCCCCAUACCCAUCCCCAUCCUUAGUUCCAGUAUUGCUGUUACUAUAAUUAUGAAGUCUGCUUUAACACAUGUGAAUGGAAGUGCAAGGCUUGUCUUAAGUUUAAGUUCUAUGUGACCAGUUUGAGGUAAUUCUAAAGCAUGACCUUUAAAAGGCUUUGAACGAAGUUCUAGAAGACGCUCAAUAACGCACCAUUUACUUUCUUCGUCAUCUGCUGGGGAGUUUAGAGAAGCACCACUAAGUGCCUAGUUGUAGUUGAUUGAGGAUAUGAACUUUGGCAUUAUCCAAACAUAUUUUCAUAUUCUUUUACUUCUUUAUAAUGCUACAUGGUUAGCAAAAUUCAAAGUUAUUACGUAAAUGAUUUUAUAAUGAAUGUAAACAAAAUCACUUGUAAAUGGGGAUGUACAAAUAUAAAGAUCUAAAUUCUUGUGUCUC